UACCAGCACCCCGAGUGGUCGGGACGAUUAUUGGGCCUAAAGCAUCCGUAGCCGGUCCUACAAGUCUUCCGUUAAAUCCACCUGCUUAACAGGUGGGCUGCGGAAGAUACUAUAGGGCUAGGAGGCGGGAGAGGCAAGCGGUUACUCAGUGGGUAGGGGGUAAAAUCCUCUGAUCCAUUGAAGACCACCAGUGGCGAAGGCGGCUUGCCAGAACGCGCUCGACGGUGAGGGAUGAAAGCUGGGGGAGCAAACCGG
rnacentral:rRNA from 1 species